GCCGCGUGUUGCAAUCUUGUCGCUCCGGCAUCCAGUUACUUGUCCCAGUCUUUUUCCGUUGAGACUGUACACGUGCUGCGUAUAUGUCGCGAAGGCUCGUGCCGAAGCAGAGGUGCAUCGUAAACCGUUCGUCGAUGAGCUAUGCUUCCACGAGGACGUGUGGCUUGGAACGAGGGAGCAGCUUUCACGUGCGCAUCCCUCGAGCGUGCACAGCAACGACAGCCUUGAAGUAAUGGACACGUCGCGGAGCCUGCUGCUGAGCCUCGCCGCUCUGGCCCUGCUGGGAUCCUCGGUGACGUCAGCCUUCUACCGAGGAAGGCCGGGAAGCAGCCUGGCGCUGGCCAAGAGGCUGGAGACCUGAGCUCGCCGAGGACGAAGAGUACACCGCGCUGCCCGGCGCCCUGGAAGCUUUCGAGUGGCGCUCCCGGUUCCCCCCAGCGGCGCCUGCAGAUAUUAGCAGCUUCUACCCGUUCUUCAGGCCCACGUCCCUCGCCAAGAAGAACAAGGACGCGCCGCGGUCUAUCGACCCGGCCGGGGCUGCGAACCGCAAGUUCCAGACGCAGGGAUGGAGGCGCUGAUCACCAAGACGAAGCACUACCGGACACUGAAACAUUAAAGCUCACGUUUGACCGUUUGUUGCCGUAUAAA
rnacentral:misc_RNA from 1 species